AAUCAACGCUGGCGGCGUGCCUCAGACAUGCAAGUCGAACGAUUAAAGCUCUCUUCGGAGAGUGUAUAGAGUGGCGCACGGGUGAGUAACACGUAAGUAAUCUACCCUCGAGUGGGGAAUAACGUCCGGAAACGGACGCUAAUACCGCAUAAUGCAGCGGCACCGCAAGGUGACAGUUGUUAAAGGAGAAAUUCGCUUGAGGAGGAGCUUGCGGCAGAUUAGCUUGUUGGUAAGGUAACGGCUUACCAAGGCUACGAUCUGUAACCGGUCUUAGAGGACGGUCGGUCACACUGACACUGAAUAACGGGUCAGACUCCUACGGGAGGCAGCAGUCGGGAAUUUUGGGCAAUGGGCGAAAGCCUGACCCAGCAACGCCGCGUGAAGGAUGAAGUAUUUCGGUAUGUAAACUUCGAAAGAAU
rnacentral:rRNA from 1 species